UCCGAGGUCACCUGGAAAGAUUGAUUUGCGUUCGGCAAGCGCCGGCCGGGCCUACAGAGCGGGUGACAAAGCCCCAUACGCUCGAGGAUCGGACGCGGUGCCGCCGCUGCCUUUGGGGCCCGUCCCCCCCGGAGAGGGGACGACGACCCAACACACAAGCCGUGCUUGAUGGGCAGCAAUGACGCUCGGACAGGCAUGCCCCCCGGAAUACCAGGGGGCGCAAUGUGCGUUCAAAGACUCGAUGAUUCACGGAAUUCUGCAAUUCACACUAGUUAUCGCAUUUCGCUGCGUUCUUCAUCGAUGCCGGAACCAAGAGAUCCAUUGUUGAAAGUUUUAACUGAUUGCGAUACAAUCAACUCAGACUUCACUAGAUCAGACAGAGUUCGUGGUGUCUCCGGCGGGCGCGGGCCCGGGGCUGAGAGCCCCCGGCGGCCAUGAAUGGCGGGCCCGCCGAAGCAACUAAGGUACAGUAAACACGGGUGGGAGGUUGGGCUCGCUAGGAACCCUACACUCGGUAAUGAUCCUUCCGCAGGUUCACCCUACGGAA
rnacentral:misc_RNA from 1 species